GUGACAUGCAGUAUAAAAAGCCGCGAAACGGAGCACUUGGUCUUUUCUGUCCCUGUCGUCUAUCGGGUUGAGAACAGGAGGGUGACUGCGAUUAUGCAGUGCAUCACACUGGAUAGAUGAAGACGAUGGAAAAUGGAAUGAACGGCAAAGCUGAAUCUUCAGGACUGCAGCUGGUGGAAGGUUCCGGUUAAAGUCUGAAACGCUGGUAAUGAGCAGAGCUGGAAGUGUUAACUGAGCAAUAAAAUUCUUUAACUCAA